GGAAUAUUGGUCAAUGGAGGCAACUCUGAACCAGCCAUGCCGCGUGAAGGAUUAAGGCCCUCUGGGUUGUAAACUUCUUUUUUAUGGGAAGAAAUGUUCUGAUUCUUCAGAGCUUGACGGUACCAUAGGAAUAAGCACCGGCUAACUCCGUGCCAGCAGCCGCGGUAAUACGGAGGGUGCAAGUGUUAUCCGGAUUCACUGGGUUUAAAGGUUGCGUAGGUGGGCAGAUAAGUCAGUGGUGAAAUCUUCCGGCUUAACCGGAAAGUUGCCGUUGAUACUAUUUGUCUUGAAUAUUGUGGAGGUAAGCGGAAUAUGUCAUGUAGCGGUGAAAUGCUUAGAUAUGACAUAGAACACCAAUUGCGAAGGCAGCUUACUAUAUAAUUAUUGACACUGAGGCACGAAAGCGUGG
rnacentral:rRNA from 1 species